rnacentral:rRNA from 1 species
GAUGAACGCUGGCGGCGUGCUUAACACAUGCAAGUCGAACGGGAAAUAUUUCAUUGAGACUUCGGUGGAUUUGAUCUAUUUCUAGCGGCGGACGGGUGAGUAACGCGUGGGUAACCUACCUUAUAAAGGGGGAUAACAGCCAGAAAUGUCUGCUAAUACCGCUUAAGCGCACAGACCUGCAUGGCUCAGUGUGAACAACUCCGGUGGUAUACGAUGGAGCCGCGUUGGAUUCGCUUGUUGGUGGGGUAACGGCCCACCAAGGCGACGGACCAUAAGCGGCCUGAGAGGGUGUACGGCCACAUUGGGACUGAAACACGGCCCAGACUCCUACGGGAGGCAGCAGUGGGGAAUAUUGCACAAUGGGGGAAACCCUGAUGCAGCGACGCCGCGUGAAGGAAGAAGUAUCUCGGUAUGUAAACCUCUAUCAGCAGGGAAGAUAGUGACGGUACCUGACUAAGAAGCCCCGGCUAACUACGUGCCAGCCGCCGCGGUAA